GAAUUGUGACUCAGAUGGCUACUGAAAAAGAAUUGCAAAUUCUUUCAUUAGGGUUCAAUUCCCUCACAAUUCU
rnacentral:tRNA from 1 species